GGUCAGACUAGGGAGAGCUACCCGAAAAGGCGGAUUACCUACCCGCUCUGUCUGGCUACUUAAUGUAGGU
rfam:Endozoicomonas montiporae strain LMG 24815 scaffold00003, whole genome shotgun sequence.